GAGCACUUGCUGCUCUGGAAGAGGACUCUGAUUCAGAAUAAUAAAUAUAACCAAAUCAUAGUAAGAUGUCCCUAGGUAAGAUUUCAUGGAGAACAACACCUGGGAGAAAGGCUCAAACUUUAAGAAAUCUAACCAAAGCAUCAUACAGCAAACCAUCAUUGAAUGAUAAAAAUAUUUACAUAUGAGAAGACCUCUAUUGGAAUGAGAGAGGUGACAGCCUCUUGCUCACUUCUAAAUAUUUAGUUGAUACUAACUUUACUAUAUAAAUCCACCAGGAAUUUGAGAGCCAGCUUAAUUCGCUAGCUCAUCCCUGUGAGCCACAGGUACAGGUCUGUCUGGAUGAUGUGCUCUGUAGCUCUUGAGAGUUGUCCCUUAGGGGGUUAACACAGAGGAUCCAGUUUCUCUGGUCCUGGGCUAUUUUUACUUCAACAGUGCUAACCCUGAGCGUGCUUCUGUACCGUUUGGAGCAGCUGUUCUGAUGGGCAGUCCUAACUCUGAAAUCCUGUCACAGACGAGCUCCACUGACCCGUGACCAUGAACUGAGCAAGCUACGAGAUGAGUGGCAAAUUCAAGCUGACCUUACAUUCCAAGGUCCUCCAUGGAGAAGGAAACCUGCAGCUCAAUCAAUACUCAUCCUUCCUGACAACCUGCUUUCUGGAAAAGGCCUCUUUUGGGGGGUAAAAGGCUAAAGAGGGCUUUAAAAAUUCAGUCUGCACUGAAAGAGAACUUCCACAGUGAUAGAUGUGAGGUUCUGGAAGAGAAACAGCAGAAGUCCUUGAGAGGAAAGCCAAAGCCAAUCUCUCCAAACAUCUCAAAGUGGACGCAUCUGCAUUUGUCAAACUCGGCCUGUGCCAGGGUCUCAUCCAACAGGACGGGACAUGGCUGAACUGGACCUUUAAGGAAGGGACAUCUCCCAUGUGAGAGAGACCUCAGGAGUCAGCCACUCUCAAGCUCAUGGCCACAGUGUAGAUUACCAUUGUCCCUGAGGGUCCAUUGUGAAAGGUCUGCUGGGAACCUCUGAACUCAGUCAAUUAUUAAACACUUCUGACUUUGCUGCAUGUUAGGCCCCAUUUGUCCCUGACCUAACAAUGUUCCUGUGUCAGAGAAAAGAGACUGAGUAAAAGGUAUCAGUGAACUUAGAGAAGAUUCAGACUAUUGGUCCAUGCUGGUAAAAUACCCAUAUGUUGACCAAGGACAUUAAGCUCCUUAAGAAUUGGGACUGACAUGACUGAAUAAGCAGCUAGCUGGGUGUUGGGCUGAGCUAUUGUUUGUCCCUGUCCCUUGAGUUCUUUU
rnacentral:sRNA from 1 species